rnacentral:rRNA from 1 species
AAGUCAUAACAAGGUUUCCGUAGGUGAACCUGCGGAAGGAUCAUUAAUGAAAUCGCGUAUCUCGGGUCUCCCGGAUAUGUUUCAUCCCAUACACCGUGAACUGUGGCCUCGGCCAUUUACACAAACUGUUAGUAAUGAAUGUAACAUCAUAACAAACAUAAAACUUUUAACAACGGAUCUCUUGGUUCUGGCAUCGAUGAAGAACGCAGCGAAAUGCGAUAAGUAGUGUGAAUUGCAGAAUUCAGUGAAUCAUCGAAUCUUUGAACGCACAUUGCGCCCUUUGGCAUUCCUUAGGGCAUGUCUGUCCGAGCGUCAUUGCUGCCCUCAAGCACGGCUUGUGUGUUGGGCCCCGUCCUCCGCUCCCGGGGGACGGGCCCGAAAGGCAGCGGCGGCACCGCGUCCGGUCCUCGAGCGUAUGGGGCUUUGUCACCCGCUCUGUAGGCCCGGCCGGCGCUUGCCGAUCAACCAAACUUUUAUCCAGGUUGACCUCGGAUCAGGUAGGGAUACCCGCUGAACUUAA